UUAAGUUAUGUACAAUGGAAUUUAGUACCGGAAACCAAACACUGUAUCAGUAAUGCAAGAUUAUAUAAUCAUUAACAGAUAAAAGGCAUGUAAAUUGCAAACACAGUAUUCUCGACAUGAUUAUGUAUAUAUGUGUGUGUGUGUAUGUCGCUGAUAACGUUGGAGUAACUGGUAAAGUUGUUGUCAUGUGACCAGGAGGUCUCGGGUUUAAGCCUUUGAAAUAGCUGGUAGAAAUGUAAGGUAAGGUUGCAUACAAUACACCCUCGUGGUGGGGCCCUUCCCCGGACCCUGUGCAUAACAGAAGCUUUAAUGCACCGAGCUGCCUUUUUUUGGUGUCAUAUAGAGAAAGAGAGGAAG
rnacentral:lncRNA from 1 species